rnacentral:rRNA from 1 species
UGCGCAGGCGGACUAUUAAGUCAGUGGUGAAAUCUCUCGGCUCAACCGAGAAACUGCCAUUGAAACUGAUAGCCUUGAGUAUGGUUGUGGUAGGCGGAAUAUAGCAUGUAGCGGUGAAAUGCUUAGAUAUGCUAUAGAACACCGAUCGCGAAGGCAGCUUACCAAACCAUUACUGACGCUCAUGCACGAAGGCGUGGGGAGCAAACAGGAUUAGAUACCCUGGUAGUCC